UACGUAGGUGGCAAGCGUUGUCCGGAAUUAUUGGGCGUAAAGCGCGCGCAGGCGGUCCUUUAAGUCUGAUGUGAAAGCCCACGGCUCAACCGUGGAGGGUCAUUGGAAACUGGGGGACUUGAGUGCAGAAGAGGAGAGUGGAAUUCCACGUGUAGCGGUGAAAUGCGUAGAUAUCUGGAGGAAUACCGGUGGCGAAGGCGGCAUCCUGGACCAUUACUGACGCUGAGGCGCGAAAGCUAGGGGAGCAAACGGG
rnacentral:rRNA from 1 species